GAUGAAGAACGUAGCGAAAUGCGAUAAGUAAUGUGAAUUGCAGAAUUCAGUGAAUCAUCGAAUCUUUGAACGCAUCUUGCGCUCCUUGGUAUUCUGAGGAGCAUGCCUGUUUGAGUGUCAUUAAAUUCUCAACUACACUGACUUUGAAUUGGUGUGGCUUGGAUUUGGGUGGGAAAAUUGUUGUGGGCUUUUUGUAUAGUCUGCUCCCCUGAAAUUGAUUAGCGGUACCUUUGUGGAACUGUCUACAGGUGUGAUAAUUAUCUACAUCAUAGACAUCUGCUGGAAUGCUGCUUUCUAAACCUUACUUGUAUUGACAAUCUUGACCUCAAAUCAGGUAGGACUACCCGCUGAACUUAAGCAUAUCAAUAAGCGGAGGA
rnacentral:misc_RNA from 1 species